GCAUUUAAACCUGCCUUUGAGGUGCAAUAAUCUAUAGUGAUUACAGUUGCUGGCAGCCGCCCACCAAGCUACCAGGGAGUUAGGAGCUGGGUUUUGUUCUCAAUUGCAUUCUCUUUCCUUAAUCUAAGCUUUUUUUCCCCUCUGGUAUAAUUAAUUUACUUGGCUCUGAUCUUUCUACCUUUCUGCUAAUGGCUUCAGGUUUUACUGCAUCUGCUAUGAAAUCGUAAGCAACCUCAGAUCUUUUAUGGCGGUAGAAGGAGUAUAAAUAAAUAUAAAGGCAAAAACUGGCUUUUAAAGAUGACAGGUAGCAAGAAAAAAGAUAGAGAGAAUAUGCCCACAAUCACAUGUGGGGUGUGUAGGCUCCACAUGGACACACUGAGGGACAGCCCAGCCAGUGCCCACCCAGACACCCUGCCCCCUGGCUCCCUCCAGCCUUCUGUGAGAGCUUCUGAUGCCAAGUGCCCUGAUAAAAUAUGCAGAAAGCUCCACAUGCCCCUCAAGCCAGUUGUUGGCCACACCAGACUCUUUCUCCCAUGAACCAGUGAGACACUAUGGCUUGGAGGGGACGUUUGAUGGGGGAGGGAAGUGGUUACAAUUAACUCUUCUAGAACCUUCUCUGGCUCUUUGUCGUUUCCCAUCUUGCAGCUCUUGUCAGUUGUUUUAAAACAACUGUUUUAAAACAUGUCUCCUGUCAUCAAUAAAGUCAUCAUUAUGCAUUUUGGCUGCAGUGAUGAAAAAUUCACCCAGCUUAGAGAGAGGACAGAGACCUGGGAGAGCCCAUUCAGGCCUGAUGGGAAGUGAGAAUAAACAUAAGGAAAAGGACACAUUCGACUCAUGGUUUUUAACUGCUGUCGCUUUUCUGGUUCUGGUUGGUUUGAUUUUGUUGUUGUUGCUGUUUAGUUAUUUGUACAUUGGUUUAUUUCUUUAAGGAAAUUAAGGAGAAAAACAAACACACCCUGGAAGAAAGCAGUGGUGCUGACCUCAUCAAUGUCAGGCCUCGAGAGACACAGAAGGAGUGCCUCAGGAUGCCCAGUGACUGUUCUUCAGCACACGGGGCAGCAAGUGACACAGACGCAGUGGGUGACACAGAACUAGAAUUCUUGCUAGAAGUUUACUUUAGACAUCCUGGAAUUUCCACUCAUCCUGACUCUACAAGCACAUCAAGAUACUGACCAGUCCUGAUCCUUCUUCCCAGUGUCACAGAGUCAAAGUCACUCACAAAGAGUGCAGUUUGACCCCGAGGCCCAAGCCCGGGACUGAUGGUGAAGAGACGAAAGUUGGGCUUCAGCUACUGGGGAGGCUGAGGUAGGGGGAUCGAUUGAGCCUGGGAGAUCAAGGCUGCAGUGGGUCAAGAUCAUGUCA
rnacentral:lncRNA from 10 species